GACGAACGCUGGCGGCGUGCCUAAUACAUGCAAGUUGAGCGCUGAAGGUUGGUACUUGUACCAACUGGAUGAGCAGCGAACGGGUGAGUAACGCGUGGGGAAUCUGCCUUUGAGCGGGGGACAACAUUUGGAAACGAAUGCUAAUACCGCAUAAAAACUUUAAACACAAGUUUCAAGUUUGAAAGAUGCAAUUGCAUCACUCAAAGAUGAUCCCGCGUUGUAUUAGCUAGUUGGUGAGGUAAAGGCUCACCAAGGCGAUGAUACAUAGCCGACCUGAGAGGGUGGUUGGCCAAAUUGGGAAUGGGACACGGCCCAAACUCCUAAGGGAGGCAGCAGUAGGGAAUCUUCGGCAAUGGAGGAAAGUCUGGCCGAGCAACGCCGCGUGAGUGAAGGAGGUUUUCGGGUCGUAAAAGUCUGUUGGUAGGGAAGAAAGUUGGUGAGAGUGGAAAGCUCAUGAAGUGACGGUAACUACACAGAAAGGGACGGCUAACUACGUG
rnacentral:rRNA from 1 species